UCUUCUCCCUCCCCCAGUUCCCUGCGCUCCCAACCGCCCGCGCCCGCUGCUAAGCAGCGGCGGGGAUGGCGAGCCGCGGGGCCGGGGCGGUGACGAUAGCAGCGGUCCCGCCAUUGGACGAGGAGCCCUGAGGGACAGGCCAGCGCGGUGAACAAGGAGAGACCGAGGCGGGUGGCCCCGAGAGAGCGAGGGCAAUGGAGGCCAACAUGCCGAAGCGGAAGGAGCCUGGCAAGUCCCUGCGCAUCAAAGUCAUCUCCAUGGGCAACGCCGAAGUGGGAAAAAGCUGUAUUAUAAAGCGAUACUGUGAGAAAAGAUUUGUAUCUAAAUAUCUUGCAACAAUUGGAAUUGACUAUGGAGUCACAAAGGUACAAGUCAGAGACAGAGAAAUCAAAGUUAACAUCUUUGAUAUGGCUGGACAUCCCUUCUUCUACGAGGUUCGUAACGAGUUUUACAAGGACACACAGGGUGUGAUACUGGUCUAUGACGUUGGGCAGAAAGACUCCUUUGAUGCCCUUGAUGCAUGGCUGGCAGAAAUGAAGCAAGAUCUUGGACCUCAUGGAAACAUGGAAAAUAUUGUCUUUGUGGUGUGUGCCAACAAGAUCGAUUGUACCAAGCACCGCUGUGUUGAUGAAAGUGAAGGGCGUCUUUGGGCCGAAAGCAAAGGAUUCCUGUACUUUGAAACUUCAGCACAAACCGGAGAAGGAAUCAACGAGAUGUUCCAGACCUUUUAUGUAUCCAUAGUUGAUUUAUGUGAAAAUGGCGGGAAACGUCCCAUCACAAAUAGCAGUGCUAGCUUCACCAAAGAACAAGCAGACACCAUUCGCAGAAUUCGGAAUAGUAAAGAUAGUUGGGACAUGUUGGGAGUCAAACCCGGGGCCUCAAGGGAUGAAGUCAAUAAAGCGUAUCGGAGACUCGCUGUGCUGCUGCACCCUGACAAAUGUGUAGCUCCCGGCAGCGAAGAUGCCUUCAAAGCCGUCGUGAAUGCCCGGACAGCCCUCCUGAAAAACAUCAAGUAGAAAGUAGAAAAAAAAGACAAGUGUGGGCCUCAAGUACAAACAGACUUUCCCGAGAGGUAAUUUCAGGAGGCGCUGGAACGGCACUCCCUUCUCCACUCACCAUCUAGCUCACACCGAGUCUGCCAACGUCUUUAUAAAAGUUUUGGAAAUGAAUUUAGCUGCAAAACGUAGCUAACCACCUUCCAUUGUGAGUUUUGCAAAGGAAAGAGAGGAUCAGACUUCUCACGAUGGACA